rnacentral:lncRNA from 1 species
AUGGGCGCCCGCCCACCGGAGGAGCGACUGGAGUUGAUCGGCUGGGCGCUCAGUUUCACUCUUGUUGCCCAGGCUGGAGUGCAAUGGUGUGAUUUCAGCUUACUGAAACCUCCACCUCCUAGGUUCAAGAGAUUCUCCUGCCUCAGCUUCCCGAGUAGCUGGAAUUACAGUGUGGCUGGUGAGAAGAACUUGGGAUGAUCCCUUCCUGUGGGGUUCAAGAGCAGUCUUUCUCCGGUGUCAUUUCCAAAAGAUCCAGUCUCCAGGUUCUAGGUCAUAAAAGCUUCAGAUCCAAAUGGUAUGCUAGCAUUCUCUUCCUAGCAGUCCACUGUCAAGACUUCACUGUUAGAAGAAGAAUCACACCAGAAUUAAGGUCAAAUGGAUUAUCUUAUUCUUAAUUGCUGAAAAUCACACCUCAUUGAAAUUUGCUUCAUAACUGAACCAUGAAUUUUUCAUCAAACAUACUUUUGUGUUUCUCCUCCUGGCAUUCUUUAUGAGGAACUUCUUUUUGGAGCUCACUGACUUCCUGUUCUAAUUUGGUCCAGUUAUUUUCUAGAAUUGCUACAUGACUGUCAUCCUGGGACAUCCUUCUGUUGGAAUCUGGGAGAGCUUACAACUUUUCAUAUCCUCUCUUCUUCUUUGUGUUUUUCACCCUGAAGUGUACAAAGUCAAAUGAAUUUCCUAGAAAAACUA